CCCUAACCCAUUCCCACACCGAUUUCUUUCCCUUCCUCCCCUCGCCGUUUCUCUUCCUCUGCAGGUUCUUCUUCCCCGAGCCACUUCGUCUUCCCCAAACCAACGGCGCCAACCCGACGCGACUCUUCUUCUCCUCGCUAAUAAAGCCAUCGGCCAAGGGAAGCCCCGAAGCCCUAGCGUCAUCUCCCUUCUCACCCGAUCCCCGCUGACCUCCUCUCCGACUCCACAGCUUGACGCCACAAGGGGAUCAUGUCGGCCCCGUUCAACCCACCGCCAACCAGGUCAUCCUUUGCCACGAUCGCCUGAUUCUUCUCGGUGGUUGCCUUUAUUCCCCCACUUCUCCUCCUUUCCUGUCCGAGUCAUCUCUCGCACAGGGGAGUCAACAGCCGAGGGCAAGGGGGGCCUCGAUUAGCCACCGUUGCUACUAUCGCCACGGACCAACCCUUCAUCGCCACCCUAUCGCUAUCACCGGUCGUUGCCCUUUUCUAUCUUCGAUCCACUGCUGCUUAUCGUCGGAGGCGCUGCCACCGGCUGUUGUGGGAGACGCCAUCACACACUCACCCUCUCCACCGGUCACAAGGUGUGCUCUGCUGCCUUGCUGCCAUAUUAGAGCGUCAUCCAGCUCCGAUCACCAGUUUCUAGCAAGUAUAGUUGUGUUCUAUGGAGUUGGAGUUGUUAACAGUGUUAGCAAGAACUGUUAUAUUGAGGAUUUUUAUUCGAGAUGACAUCUCGAUGUGAGAUCUAUUUCGGAUACGUUCUCCAUUUUUGAGACGGGUACCUUUGACUUAUCUUUUUGAUAUUGUCAUUCUGAUAUGCUUAGUGAGUUAUAACUAGUAGUAAUAGUUAUGCUUAUAUCUGCUUGGUAUGUCACUACUUGAUACCGUAGUUUAUCAUAUUGUUGUCUGUGAUACAUUUAUGCUUAUGCCCUUUUAAUUCUU